UAACACGUGGGCAACCUGCCCCCCGCACCGGGACAGCCUCGGGAAACCGUGGGUAAUACCGGGUACUCCGCCACCCCCGCAUGGGGGAGGCGGGAGAGCGUAUGCGGCGGGGGAUGGGCCCGCGGCCUGUUAGCUAGUUGGCGGGGCAACGGCCCACCAAGGCGAUUAUGGGUAGCUGGGUUGAGAGACCGACCAGCCAGAUUGGGACUGAGACACGGCCCAGACUCCUACGGGAGGCAGCAGUGGGGAAUCUUGCGCAAUGGGGGCAACCCUGACGCAGCGACGCCGCGUGCGGGACGAAGGCCUUCGGGUCGUAAACCGCUUUCAGCAGGGACGAGGCCGAGAGGUGACGGUACCUGCAGAAGAAGCCCCGGCUAACUACGUGCCAGCAGCCGCGGUAAUACGUAGGGGGCGAGCGUUAUCCGGAUUCAUUGGGCGUAAAGCGCUCGUAGGCUGCCCGCUAGGUCCGGGGUCAAAUCCGGGGGCUCAACCCCCGCACGCCCCGGAUACCGGCGGGCUUGAGUCGGGUAGGGGAAGGCGGAAUUCCAGGUGUAGCGGUGGAAUGCGCAGAUAUCUGGAAGAACACCGGUGGCGAAGGCGGCCUUCUGGGCCUCGACUGACGCUGAGGAGCGAAAGCUGGGGGAGCGAACAGGAUUAGAUACCCUGGUAGUCCCAGCCGUAAACGAUGGACGCUAGGUGU
rnacentral:rRNA from 1 species